rnacentral:rRNA from 1 species
AGAGUUUGAUCCUGGCUCAGGAUGAACGCUAGCUACAGGCUUAACACAUGCAAGUCGAGGGGCAGCAUGUUGGUUGCUUGCAACCAAUGAUGGCGACCGGCGCACGGGUGCGUAACACGUAUCCAACCUGCCCGUUACUCGGGGAUAGCCUUUCGAAAGAAAGAUUAAUACCCGAUGGUUUCGCGCUUCCGCAUGAGAGUGCGAAUAAAGAUUUAUCGGUAACGGAUGGGGAUGCGUCCGAUUAGCUGUUGCGGGUAACGGCCCACCAAGGCGACGAUCGGUAGGGGCUCUGAGAGGAGGGUCCCCCACACUGGAACUGAGACACGGUCCAGACUCCUACGGGAGGCAGCAGUGAGGAAUAUUGGUCAAUGGGCGAGAGCCUGAACCAGCCAAGUAGCGUGAGGGACGACUGCCCUAUGGGUUGUAAACCUCUUUUGUUUGGGAAUAAAGUGAGGCACGCGUGCCUUUUGUAUGUACCUUACGAAUAAGCAUCGGCUAAUUCCGUGCC